GCCUGGGUGGCUCAGUCGGUUGAGCGUCUGACUUCGGCUCAGGUCACGGUCUCACGGUCCGUGAGUUCGAGCCCCGCAUCGGGCU
rfam:Felis catus isolate Cinnamon breed Abyssinian chromosome B4, whole genome shotgun sequence.